rnacentral:rRNA from 1 species
GACCCGUCUUGAAACACGGACCAAGGAGUCUAACAUGUGCGCGAGUCGUCGAGUCGAAACGAAACUCGCGAGGCGUAAUGAAAGUGAAGCUCGGCCCCGAUGAGGGUGCCGCGAGGGGAGAUCCCGUCUCGAAUAGAGCGGGCGCAUCCCCAGGGCGUUCGAUGCCGCGACUUUUUAGCCGGCCGAACGAACCCGGAGCGUACACGUUGGGACCCGAAAGAUGGUGACCUAUGCCUGGCCAGGUCGAAGCCAGGGGAAACCCUGGUGGAGGACCGCAGCGAUUCUGACGUGCAAAUCGAUCGUCGGAGUUGGGUAUAGGGGCGAAAGACUAAUCGAACCAUCUAGUAGCUGGUUCCCCCCGAAGUUUCCCUCAGGAUAGCUGGUGCUCGCAAAGAGAACGAACGGAGUUUCAUCCGGUAAAGCGAAUGAUUAGAGGCCUUGGGGUCGAAACGACCUCAACCUAUUCUCAAACUUUCAAUGGGUGAGAAGCCCGGCCUUUCGAUCCUUGAUUGAGGCCGCGGCAUUCGAAUCUGAGCGCCCAGUGGGCCAUUUUUGGUAAGCAGAACUGGCGCUGUGGGAUGAACCAAACGCCCGGUUAAGGCGCCUAAACGACGCACAUUUCGGAUCCCACGAAAAGGAGUUGGUUGCUAAAGACAGCAGGACGGUGGCCAUGGAGGUCGGAAUCCGCUAAGGAGUGUGU